rnacentral:rRNA from 1 species
AUUGAACGCUGGCGGCAGGCCUAACACAUGCAAGUCGAGCGGAUGAAGGGAGCUUGCUCCUGGAUUCAGCGGCGGACGGGUGAGUAAUGCCUAGGAAUCUGCCUGGUAGUGGGGGAUAACGUCCGGAAACGGGCGCUAAUACCGCAUACGUCCUGAGGGAGAAAGUGGGGGAUCUUCGGACCUCACGCUAUCAGCUGAGCCUAGGUCGGAUUAGCUAGUUGGUGGGGUAAAGGCCUACCAAGGCGACGAUCCGUAACUGGUCUGAGAGGAUGAUCAGUCACACUGGAACUGAGACACGGUCCAGACUCCUACGGGAGGCAGCAGUGGGGAAUAUUGGACAAUGGGCGAAAGCCUGAUCCAGCCAUGCCGCGUGUGUGAUGAAGGUCUUCGGAUUGUAAAGCACUUUAAGUUGGGAGGAAGGGCAGUAAGUUAAUACCUUGCUGUUUUGACGUUACCAACAGAAUAAGCACCGGCUAACUUCGUG